rnacentral:rRNA from 1 species
UACGGAGGGUGCAAGCGUUUGUCCGGAAUUACUGGGCGUAAAGCGCGUGUAGGCGGAUGAGCAAGUCUGCUGUGAAAGCUCCUGGCUUAACCGGGAGUGGUCGGUGGAAACUGCUCGUCUGGAGGACGGUAGAGGUAGGUAGAAUUCCCGGUGUAGUGGUGAAAUUCGUAGAUAUCGGGAGGAACACCUGUGGCGAAAGCGGCGCACUGGACCACAACUGACGCUGAGGCGCGAAAGCUAGGGGAGCAAACAGG